rnacentral:rRNA from 1 species
GAACGUUAGCGGCAUGCCUUACACAUGCAAGUCGAACGGUAACAGGUCUUCGGAUGCUGACGAGUGGCGAACGGGUGAGUAAUACAUCGGAACGUGCCCAGACGUGGGGGAUAACGAGGCGAAAGCUUUGCUAAUACCGCAUACGAUCUAAGGAUGAAAGCAGGGGACCGCAAGGCCUUGCGCGUUUGGAGCGGCCGAUGGCAGAUUAGGUAGUUGGUGGGAUAAAAGCUUACCAAGCCGACGAUCUGUAGCUGGUCUGAGAGGACGACCAGCCACACUGGGACUGAGACACGGCCCAGACUCCUACGGGAGGCAGCAGUGGGGAAUUUUGGACAAUGGGCGAAAGCCUGAUCCAGCAAUGCCGCGUGCAGGACGAAGGCCUCGGUUGUAACUGCUUUGUUACGGAACGAAAGAACGAACUGGCGUAAUACCUGGUGUUGUAUGACGGUACCGUAAGAAUAAG